AGAGUUUGAUCCUGGCUCAGAUUGAACGCUGGCGGCAUGCUUUACACAUGCAAGUCGAACGGGGUUAAGGGGCUUGCUCCUUAAUCUAGUGGCGAACGGGUGAGUAAUGCAUCGGAACGUACCCGGGAGUGGGGGAUAACGCACCGAAAGGUGUGCUAAUACCGCAUAUUCUGUGAGCAGGAAAGCAGGGGACCUUAGGGCCUUGUGCUUCCGGAGCGGCCGAUGUCGGAUUAGCUAGUUGGUGAGGUAAAGGCUCACCAAGGCGACGAUCCGUAGCGGGUCUGAGAGGAUGAUCCGCCACACUGGGACUGAGACACGGCCCAGACUCCUACGGGAGGCAGCAGUGGGGAAUUUUGGACAAUGGGCGCAAGCCUGAUCCAGCCAUGCCGCGUGUCUGAAGAAGGCCUUCGGGUUGUAAAGGACUUUUGUCAGGAAGGAAAACCUAUUGG
rnacentral:rRNA from 1 species